AACGGGUGAGUAACGCGUGAGGAACCUGCCUUUCAGUGGGGGACACAGUUGGAAACGAUUGCUAAUACCGCAUGACACUGCCGAGUGGCAUCACUUGGUAGUCAAAGAUUUAUUGCUGAAAGAUGGCCUCGCGUCUGAUUUAGGCUAGUUGGUGGGGGUGACGGCCCACCAAGGCGACGAUCAGUAGCCGGACUGAGAGGUUGACCGGCCACAUUGGGACUGAGAUACGGCCCAGACUCCUACGGGAGGCAGCAGUGGGGAAUAUUGGGCAAUGGGGGAAACCCUGACCCAGCAACGCCGCGUGAAGGAAGAAGGCCUUCGGGUUGUAAACUUCUUUUACCAGGGACGAACACAAUGACGGUACCUGGAGAAAAGCAACGGCUAACUACGUG
rnacentral:rRNA from 1 species